GAAUGGCGAACGGGUGAGUAACACGUGGGUGAUCUGCCCUGCACUUCGGGAUAAGCUUGGGAAACUGGGUCUAUACCGGAUAGGAGCCAUCUUUAGUGUGGUGGUUGGAAAGUUUUUCGGUGUAGGAUGAGCUCGCGGCCUAUCAGCUUGUUGGUGGGGUAAUGGCCUACCAAGGCGGCGACGGGUAGCCGGCCUGAGAGGGUGUACGGCCACAUUGGGACUGAGAUACGGCCCAG
rnacentral:rRNA from 1 species